rnacentral:lncRNA from 1 species
CUGCUGCCUACCGGUUGGCUAGGUCACUCUCAGGGAGACCACACCGUCUUCACAUGGUUUCCCCAGAACCUAAAACUCAGAGAGAAAAUAGAAGGGUGGGAACUGCAAGAUAGACCCCCAAGUUGUGAAUGAUACGGAUAAGUAGCCUAAGGCUUGCUUCCUCAGAAACACAGAUCAGGGGCUGGGAAGUGCCUCUUCUCAGGUCAAGGCCUUCCUGAGAACUUCAGAAUUCUGUGAGACAGUCACCAUCAAGAUAUGACUGGCUGCCCUUCCACACAUGGGGCCAGAGACACUGUGGUGGGCAAGAGGAAGAAAGAAGGCUGAAUUCAGGCUGCAGCAGAGCCACGUUGCUUCCCUGCCAGGUUUGCUGUGUUCACAGGUGCCUGAGACCAGAGCUUCCUUCCUCUUGCUUCUGAUGUUGCAAAUUUACAAGUCAGGAAUAUUCCCACGGGUAGGGGUGGGGUGGG